AACGAACGCUGGCGGCAUGCCUAACACAUGCAAGUCGAACGAGACCUUCGGGUCUAGUGGCGCACGGGUGCGUAACGCGUGGGAACCUGCCCUUAGGUUCGGAAUAACUCCCCGAAAGGGGUGCUAAUACCGGAUAAUGUCUUCGGACCAAAGAUUUAUCGCCUUUGGAUGGGCCCGCGUUGGAUUAGCUAGUUGGUAGGGUAAAAGCCUACCAAGGCGACGAUCCAUAGCUGGUCUGAGAGGAUGAUCAGCCACACUGGGACUGAGACACGGCCCAGACCCCUAGGGGAGGCAGGAGUGGGGAAUAUUGGACAAUGGGCGAAAGCCUGACCCAGAAAUGCCGGGUGAGUGAGGAAGGCCUUAGGGUUGUAAAGCUCUUUUCCCCGGGAUGAUAAUGACAGUACCGGGAGAAUAAGCUCCGGAUAACUCCGU
rnacentral:rRNA from 1 species